rnacentral:rRNA from 1 species
UACGUAGGGGGCAAGCGUUAUCCGGAUUUACUGGGUGUAAAGGGAGCGUAGACGGCAGUGCAAGUCUGGAGUGAAAGGCGGGGGCUCAACCCCCGGACUGCUCUGGAAACUGUACGGCUGGAGUGCAGGAGAGGUAAGUGGAAUUCCUAGUGUAGCGGUGAAAUGCGUAGAUAUUAGGAGGAACACCAGUGGCGAAGGCGGCUUACUGGACUGUAACUGACGUUGAGGCUCGAAAGCGUGGGGAGCAAACA